GACGAACGCUGGCGGCGUGCCUAAUACAUGCAAGUCGAACGCAGUGGGGACGGGUGAGUAACACGUGGGUAACCUCCCAUCAGAGGGGAUAACACUUGGAAACAGGUGCUAAACCGAUACUGAUGGAUGGACCCGCUGUGCAUUAGCUAGUUGGUGGGGUAACGGCUCACCAAGGCCACGAUGCAUAGCCGACCUGAGAGGUUGAUCGGCCACACGGAGACUGAGACACGGCCAAGACUCCUACGGGAGUCAGCAGUAGGGAAUCUUCGGCAAUAGACGAAAGUCUGACCGAGCAACGCCGCGUGAGUGAAGAAGGUUUUCGGAUCGUCAUACUCUGUUGUUAGAGAAGCGGUAUCUAACAAGAAAGCCACGGCGAACUACGUGCCAGCCGCCGCGGUAAUAC
rnacentral:rRNA from 1 species